GAGGUGAAGGAGGCGAGUAGACGGGAGGAGGUGGUGGUGGGGAUUUGUACUUGUACACAGGGUGAGGUGGCGGUGGUGGUGGAGACUUGUAUUUGUAGACUGGGUGAGGUGGAGGUGGUGGUGGUGAUUUGUACUUGUAAACUGGGUGAGGUGGUGGUGGUGGCGGAGACUUGUAUUUGUAGACUGGGUGAGGUGGAGGUGGUGGUGGUGAUUUGUACUUGUAAACUGGGUGAGGUGGUGGUGGUGGUGGAGACUUGUAUUUGUAGACUGGGUGAGGGGGAGGUGGUGGGGACUUGUACUUGUAAGGAUGGGGAUGGGGAUGAGGAUGAGGAUGUGUUGGUGGUGGUGGAGGAGAUUUGUAAUGGUAAGGAGGGUGUGGGUGAUGAGGAUGUUUAGGUGGUGGUGGAGGAGAUUUGUAAUGGUAAGGAGGGGAUGGGUGGUGGGGAUGUGUAGGUGGUGGUGGAGGAGAGUGAUAGUGGUAAGGAGGAGGAGGUGGUGGUGAUUUGUAGUGAUAAGGAGGAGGUGGUGGAGAUGAGUAGGGGUAGGUGGCCGUGGUCUCUACCGGCAAGCUUAUCAAGGAAAG